rnacentral:misc_RNA from 1 species
UGGUAUUGGUAAAGGGCAAUUACUAGCUUCCAAGGAUGCUAGGUGCUCUCUUUUGCAGACAUGGUUAGUGCCUUUCUAUGAGGAUUUUGGAUGGAUGAGGAGGGCAUCAAGAGGUCUUGAUCGGCAUUUAAUUGAGGAUGGUCUCAGCAAUACUAUUCUGACCCUACCGAUGGCGUUGCAGCAAGAUAUUCUGAUGUCUUGGUUUGAUCGAUUUUUGAACUCUGGAGAUGACUGCCCAAAUAUCCAGAGGGGAUUUGAAAUUUGGUGGAGAAGGUCUUUCUG